GGGGUGCUCGAGUGGCGAACGGGUGAGUAACACGUGAGUAACCUGCCCUCGACUUUGGGAUAACUUCAGGAAACUGGGGCUAAUACCGGAUAGGAGCUCCUGCUGCAUGGUGGGGGUUGGAAAGUUUUUCGGUGUAGGAUGAGCUCGCGGCCUAUCAGCUUGUUGGUGGGGUAAUGGCCUACCAAGGCGGCGACGGGUAGCCGGCCUGAGAGGGUGUACGGCCACAUUGGGACUGAGAUACGGCCCAG
rnacentral:rRNA from 1 species